UACAGGGGGGGCAAGCGUUGUUCGGAAUUACUGGGCGUAAAGGGCCAGUAGGCGGCCAACUAAGUCACACGUGAAAUCCCCAGGCUUAACCUGGGAACUGCGUGUGAUACUGGAUGGCUUGAAUUCGGGAGAGGGAUGCAGAAUUCCAGGUGUAGCGGUGAAAUGCGUAGAUAUCUGGAGGAAUACCGGUGGCGAAGGCGGCAUCCUGGACCGACAUUGACGCUGAACGGCGAAAGCUAGGGGAGCAAAC
rnacentral:rRNA from 1 species